rnacentral:rRNA from 1 species
GGGUUGUGAGGUUAAGCGACUAAGCGUACACGGUGGAUGCCCUGGCAGUCAGAGGCGAUGAAGGACGUGCUAAUCUGCGAAAAGCGCCGGCGAGGUGAUAUGAACCCUUGACCCGGCGAUGUCCGAAUGGGGAAACCCAGUGUGAUUCGUCACACUAUCGUUAGCUGAAUACAUAGGCUAACGAGGCGAACCGGGGGAACUGAAACAUCUAAGUACCCCGAGGAAAAGAAAUCAACCGAGAUUCCCCCAGUAGCGGCGAGCGAACGGGGAGCAGCCCGGAGUCUGAAUCAGCUUGUGUGUUAGUGGAAGCGUCUGGAAAGUCGCAGGGUACAGGGUGAUACUCCCGUACACGAAAGCACACAUGCUGUGAACUCGAAGAGUAGGGCGGGACACGUGGUAUCCUGUCUGAAUAUGGGGGGACCAUCCUCCAAGGCUAAAUACUCCUGACUGACCGAUAGUGAACCAGUACCGUGAGGGAAAGGCGAAAAGAACCCCGGCGAGGGGAGUGAAAAAGAACCUGAAACCGUGUACGUACAAGCAGUGGGAGCACCUUCGGGUGUGACUGCGUACCUUUUGUAUAAUGGGUCAGCGACUUAUAUUCUGUAGCAAGGUUAACCGUAUAGGGGAGCCGAAGGGAAACCGAGUCUUAACUGGGCGUUAAGUUGCAGGGUAUAGACCCGAAACCCGGUGAUCUAGCCAUGGGCAGGUUGAAGGUUGGGUAACACUAACUGGAGGACCGAACCGACUAAUGUUGAAAAAUUAGCGGAUGACCUGUGGCUGGGGGUGAAAGGCCAAUCAAACCGGGAGAUAGCUGGUUCUCCCCGAAAGCUAUUUAGGUAGCGCCUCGUGAAUUCAUCCUCGGGGGUAGAGCACUGUUUCGGCUAGGGGGCCAUCCCGGCUUACCAACCCGAUGCAAACUGCGAAUACCGAGGAAUGUUAUCACGGGAGACACACGGCGGGUGCUAACGUCCGUCGUGAAGAGGGAAACAACCCAGACCGCCAGCUAAGGUCCCAAAGUCAUGGUUAAGUGGGAAACGAUGUGGGAAGGCACAGACAGCCAGGAUGUUGGCUUAGAAGCAGCCAUCAUUUAAAGAAAGCGUAAUAGCUCACUGGUCGAGUCGGCCUGCGCGGAAGAUGUAACGGGGCUAAACCAUGCACCGAAGCUGCGGCAGCGACACUAUGUGUUGUUGGGUAGGGGAGCGUUCUGUAAGCCUGCGAAGGUGUGCUGUGAGGCAUGCUGGAGGUAUCAGAAGUGCGAAUGCUGACAUAAGUAACGAUAAAGCGGGUGAAAAGCCCGCUCGCCGGAAGACCAAGGGUUCCUGUCCAACGUUAAUCGGGGCAGGGUGAGUCGACCCCUAAGGCGAGGCCGAAAGGCGUAGUCGAUGGGAAACAGGUUAAUAUUCCUGUACUCGGUGUUACUGCGAAGGGGGGACGGAGAAGGCUAUGUUGGCCGGGCGACGGUUGUCCCGGUUUAAGCAUGUAGGCGGAGGUUCCAGGUAAAUCCGGUACCUUUUAACGCUGAGGUGUGAUGACGAGGCACUACGGUGCUGAAGCAACAAAUGCCCUGCUUCCAGGAAAAGCCUCUAAGCAUCAGGUAACAUCAAAUCGUACCCCAAACCGACACAGGUGGUCAGGUAGAGAAUACCAAGGCGCUUGAGAGAACUCGGGUGAAGGAACUAGGCAAAAUGGUGCCGUAACUUCGGGAGAAGGCACGCUGAUAUGUAGGUGAAGCCCCUGCGGGUGGAGCUGAAAUCAGUCGAAGAUACCAGCUGGCUGCAACUGUUUAUUAAAAACACAGCACUGUGCAAACACGAAAGUGGACGUAUACGGUGUGACGCCUGCCCGGUGCCGGAAGGUUAAUUGAUGGGGUUAGCUGUAAGGCGAAGCUCUUGAUCGAAGCCCCGGUAAACGGCGGCCGUAACUAUAACGGUCCUAAGGUAGCGAAAUUCCUUGUCGGGUAAGUUCCGACCUGCACGAAUGGCGUAAUGAUGGCCAGGCUGUCUCCACCCGAGACUCAGUGAAAUUGAAAUCGCUGUGAAGAUGCAGUGUACCCGCGGCAAGACGGAAAGACCCCGUGAACCUUUACUAUAGCUUGACACUGAACACUGGUCCUUGAUGUGUAGGAUAGGUGGGAGGCUUUGAAGUGUGGACGCCAGUCUGCAUGGAGCCGUCCUUGAAAUACCACCCUUUAAUGGCUGGUGUUCUAACGUGGACCCGUUACCCGGGUUGCGGACAGUGUCUGGUGGGUAGUUUGACUGGGGCGGUCUCCUCCUAAAGAGUAACGGAGGAGCACGAAGGUCAGCUAAUCCUGGUCGGACAUCAGGAGGUUAGUGCAAUGGCAUAAGCUGGCUUGACUGCGAGAGUGACGGCUCGAGCAGGUGCGAAAGCAGGUCAUAGUGAUCCGGUGGUUCUGAAUGGAAGGGCCAUCGCUCAACGGAUAAAAGGUACUCCGGGGAUAACAGGCUGAUACCGCCCAAGAGUUCAUAUCGACGGCGGUGUUUGGCACCUCGAUGUCGGCUCAUCACAUCCUGGGGCUGAAGUAGGUCCCAAGGGUAUGGCUGUUCGCCAUUUAAAGUGGUACGCGAGCUGGGUUUAGAACGUCGUGAGACAGUUCGGUCCCUAUCUGCCGUGGGCGCUGGAGAAUUGAGGGGGGCUGCUCCUAGUACGAGAGGACCGGAGUGGACGCAUCACUGGUGUUCGGGUUGUCAUGCCAAUGGCACUGCCCGGUAGCUAAAUGCGGAAGAGAUAAGUGCUGAAAGCAUCUAAGCACGAAACUUGCCCCGAGAUGAGUUCUCCCUGACCCUUUAAGGGUCCUGAAGGAACGUUGAAGACGACGACGUUGAUAGGCCGGGUGUGUAAGCGCAGCGAUGCGUUGAGCUAACCGGUACUAAUGAACCGUGAGGCUUAACCUUACAACGCCGAAGCUGUU